UACGUAGGGGGCAAGCGUUGUCCGGAAUCAUUGGGCGUAAAGCGCGUGUAGGCGGCUAGGUAAGUCUGCUCUGAAAGCCCGGGGCUCAACCCCGGGAGGCGGGUGGAUACUGUCUAGCUCGAGUCCGGAAGAGGAGUGUGGAAUUCCUGGUGUAGCGGUGAAAUGCGCAGAUAUCAGGGAGACACCAAUGGCGAAGGCAGCACUCUGGGACGUGACUGACGCUGAGACGCGAAAGCGUGGGGAGCAAACAGG
rnacentral:rRNA from 1 species